ACUCCUACGGGAGGCAGCAGUGGGAAGUAUUGCACAAUGGGGAAACCCGUAGCAUGCAGCCAUGCCGCGUGUGUGAAGAAGGCCUUCGGGUUGUAAAGCACUUUCAGUAGGGAGGAAGGUAGUGUAGUUAACACCUGCACUAUUUGACGUUACCUACAGAAGAAGCACCGGCUAACUCCGUGCCAGCAGCCGCGGUAAUACGGAGGGUGCGAGCGUUAAUCGGAAUUACUGGGCGUAAAGCGCAUGCAGGCGGCCUGUUAAGUCAGAUGUGAAAG
rnacentral:rRNA from 1 species